CAAUCUCUACAACCUCACGGUGUCAAAUAUAUUCAUUAUAUUAAGCAGACAUUCAAUCAGGCAAUCU
rnacentral:tRNA from 11 species